GAUGAACGCUGGCGGCGUGCCUAAUACAUGCAAGUCGUGCGGCAGCAUGCCCUUCGGGGUGAUGGCGAGCGGCGAACGGCUGAGUAACGCGUAGGAAUAUACCCCAAAGUGAGGGAUAACUGCCCGAAAGGGUAGCUAAUACCGCAUGUGGUCUUCGGAUUAAAGCUUUAUGCGCUUUGGGAAUAGCCUGCGUUCGAUUAGUUUGUUGGUGAGGUAAUGGCUCACCAAGGCGACGAUCGAUAGCUGGUCUGAGAGGAUGAUCAGCCAGACUGGAACUGAGACACGGUCCAGACUCCUACGGGAGGCAGCAGUAAGGAAUCUUCCACAAUGGGCGAAAGCCUGAUGGAGCAACGCCGCGUGCAGGAUGAAGGCCUUCGGGUUGUAAACUGCUUUUAUUAGCGAAGAAUAUGACGGUAACUAAUGAAUAAGGAUCGGCUAACUCCGUGCCAGCCGCCGCCGUAACAC
rnacentral:rRNA from 1 species